AUUAAUUUAAAUUAUAUAAUUUUUUAAGUAAUUUUGAUUAAAUAAAUAAAGUAAUAAUAUAAAAUUAAUAAUAUUUAGUAAUAUGAAUAAAAAAUAUAAUAAUUAAAUAUAAAUAGUAUUGUAAAAGAAUAAAAAUAUUAUUUUAAAAUAAAUAUUAAAAUUUUUUACCUUUUGUAUCAGGGUUUAUUAAAUUUAAUAAAUAAAAAUUUUAAUUCUCGAAAUAAACUGAUCUAUUUAUAUAUGAUAAUUAAUGUAACAAUAUUAUUAUUAAUUUAUAAAUAGUAAUGAGAGGUUAUUCAUAGUUUAUAUAUCUAGUUAUUUUAUAAAUAAAUUUAAUUUAAUUAAAAUUAAAUUAUAUAUAUUUACUAUAAAAUAUAUAUAUUAAUUUUAAUAAAAUUAUUAGGGAUAAACUUAAUAAUUAUAUUAAUAUAUUAAUAAUAAAUAAAUAAUUAUAAUAAAAAUAAUAAUUUUUAUUUAUAAAUAAUUUAUAAUAAUUAAUAAAUAAUAAAUAUAAUUUUAAAAUUAUUUAAUUAUAUAUAAAAUUAUUAAUUUUAAUUAAAUUAAAUUAAUUAAUAAUGAUAAAAUUAGUAAAUAAAAUUUAAUAAAAUUAUAUAAAAUAAAGAUUAUUUUAAGGAAUUAGGCAAAAAUUUUUAUUCACCUGUUUAUUAAAAACAUGGUUUGUUGAAUUAAUAAUAAUAAAUCAAUUCUGCUCAAUGAAAUUAUUUAAAUAGCUGCAGUAUUUUGACUGUACAAAGGUAGCAUAAUCAAUUGUCUUUUUAUUAAAGUCUAGAAUGAAAGAAAUAAUGAAAUAAAAACUGUCUCAAAAUAAAUAAAUUUUAAAAUUUAUUAUAAGUUAAAAUUCUUAUAUUUUUAUAAAAGACGAGAAGACCCUAUAGAAUUUUAUUAUUAUAUUAAUUAAUAUUAUUAAAUUUAAAUAAUUUAUAUUAUUAUAAUAAUUAUAUUGGGGGGAUAAUAAAAUUUAAUUAAUUUUUAUAAUUUUUUUUCUAAUAUAUUAGAAUUAUGUAACCAAUAUUAUUGAAUUUAAAUAAAUUACCUUAGGGAUAACAGCGUUAAAUUUUUAAAGAGUUCAUAUUGAUAAAAAUUUUUGCGACCUCGAUGUUGAAUUAAAAUUAAUUAUUAUUGUAGAUAAUAAUAAAAUUUAGUCUGUUCGACUAUUAAAAUUUUACAUGAUUUGAGUUUAGAUCGGUGUAAGCCAGAUCGGUUUCUAUCUUUAUAAUAUUAAAUAUAUUUUUGUACGAAAGGACUUAAUAUAAAUAAUAAUUAUUAAAUUCAUGAAUAAAAUUAUUGUGA
rnacentral:rRNA from 1 species